UCCGAUAUGGUGUAGUGGUUAACAUUAUCGCCUCUCACAAAGUCAUAGAGGUUCGCGAUAGCCCGGGGUUCGAUUCCCCGUGUCGGAA
rnacentral:tRNA from 1 species